GCGCUGCGAUUGGCCUCUUGGUUGUAGGGAAACUCUUCUGGGUCCUUGAUGGUAUAACGUUGACCGGUGCUCAGUAGUUUCGGGAUUGGUCAAGUAUGGUACAAACAAUACUAUAUGUCCAGAUAAAGGGAGUUCAGGGCCAUUCCAACUAUUUCUUUGAUUACAAUUAAAAUUAAAGAAGCAAGGUUAAUUAGUUUAGCCCGAUUAAUCAUCAAAAUAAAACUUUGAACUAAAAGCCAUUGAAAAUGAUUUAAAACAUAAAGAAAAAUGCAUUAAACAACAGAUCUACUUUACGUAAGUACAAACAAAAGAGGCUCGGGCAAUAUUAUAACCUUGUCGGGCAAGGUUUAUCUUCUUGUAGCUACUUUUCUUUGUGUUUUAAAAGGGUUGUAAUAUUUGGAGAAUGAAAGGUAAAACUCGUUUUACUAAAGGGAUUCGAUACUACAACGUUGGGGAAAAGUAACAGAGCUUCUAAAUCUUGACAUAAGAUGGCUUUCUAUGGUGAAUCUAUGACUAAGAGAACAGAGUCCGGACAAACUAAAGCUUUCUGUUUCUUGCUUAACUGAGAGCAAAGUGGGAUGUCUUUUGAUUGAUUUGUUGAAUGUCUUUAUUUUUUGUGUCCCUUGCUGCUUUUAUAGACUUUUUAGCCUGACUGUCUAAGCCUUGCCUUUUGGUGAUGGCCUUCAGAGCAUGGUGAGUCACCACUUAUUUACCUAUCUAUGCUCUCUAAAAGUGUUUUUUUUACUGAGGGUGAGCCGCCCUCUGUUGCCUAUCACUUCUCUCAUAGGCUUGUUGCUUAUUGCAUGCCAAAAUGAUGUUUUAAUUCUUCCUGGGUUGUCGACUUGUCCGAGCCAAAUCUUCCAUUUGCUUUUUGUGUUCUUGGGCCUCCCCUCUCACUAAGCCCCGCAUUAAAUAUCCACUCAAACAGUGCCGCCUUUAAUCAUUGUCAAGUAAGCUACUCUAGACAUUGAUAAUGAUUAAAAUAAAUUGCAUGUCGAAACUGGUAUUAGUGCCACUUAAUUAGCCUUUUUAAACAAACCUUUGCACUAACGCACAAUUUCCAAAGUUAACUGCCUGACCAUUAAUUAACUUCCAUUUCGUUUUUCUCGGCCACAUCCUGAUAGGAGCAUAUUUAUGCGCCUUAGUUAGCUAGUUCUUAUGCAUUUUCGUUAUGUUUUCUUCGUUAAAGUAGUCUUUUAAGCUACUUUCAUGUGUUUUCAGGUUUAAAGGACAUAUUACAUGAAAUGAUGCAAUUUGGAGCUUUUUGGAGCAAAAAGUGAGCUUGGAUUGAAAAGUACAUGCUUGGAACACAAGGUUGGGAUGAAAUUGAAGAUUUGAAGAUUUGAGGAUUCCUAGUACAAGAAGGAUUCCUAGUCCGAGGAGGAGUCCUAACUGAAGAAGGAUUCCUAAUCAACGAGGGAUUUCUAGUUGAAGAUGGAUUCCGAGAAGAACGAAGAUUCCUACUCAAACGAGGUUUCCUACUUGAAGUAGGAAAGCUAAGCCUAAAAGUUUCCAUUUUGGGUUUAUCUUUCCUAAACCUAAAUGGCCUUGCGUUUUAGCAACAUUAGAAGGUUCCUAAGCGUUGAAAGACACGAAGAGUGGUUCUAGAACAUUUUCUCAUCCUUGCCGUGGGUUGGGCUUAUUUCUUCUUGGUUUUGGGCUUUCUAGAAGCCCUAUCUACAAACCCUAACCCUAGCCACUAAUCAGCCGCACCUUUCCCCUUCUAGAACACCUAUUUCCUUGCCUUGCAAGGCAUUCUAGAAGCCCUAACCCUAGCCCACUUAAGCAGCCGCACCCUAGGCCUUUUCCCAUGCAAAAAUCUGAUUGUUUAACCUAAUUCCUUGUGGAUUUUCAACCCUAGCCGCACCUAAACCCUAGCCCAUUGUCUAACCUGAUUUCUUUAGGGUUUGUGGUGCCUAUAUAUAUGUGUUUUUACAUCCUUUGGCUGACUACCACCUCCCAUAUCAACCAUUCACGCCAGAAAUUCAUACCAAGACUUUGCC
rnacentral:lncRNA from 1 species